AAUGUUAUGUCCUGCCGCAUUGCAUCAUUUAAAUGCUUUUGCACAAUGUGAUAAACUAUCAUGUUUAAAAACACCUUGGUUGGAAGCUGAUAUAGGCGGAGCCGCUCGGUGAAUCAAAUGAGUAAAUCGAACAAAUCAUCUGCUUUAUGUCUGAUUGGGGGUUUAAAAGGUAUAUCCACUAGAGGGCAGAUUGGGACCUGAAUACGUUGACAGCUACCUCCGUUUUUGCCUAUAACAAACAAACAUGGCAACAUUGGAGGAGGUCGUUUUAAUGUACAUAAUGCGAAGACGGGAGAAAUAUGGCAGUGACAACCGUGAAUGUGGUACAUAAGACCAUUAAAUUUAUCGAGACAUGACAACUGAGAAUAUGUUCCUCAUUUUACAGUUGAGGGCAACUGAUGAUGAAAAACACCUCCAGUAUUUCUGCAUGUCCGUUGGAAGAUUUGAUGACUUUCUCCAUCUGGUGGCCCCCUUAAUUCAACACCAAAAAACCCACACUGAGCCAGUGGAUACAGCAGUGCAGCUUGCGAUCACGCUCCGCUUUCUUGCUACAGGCAUCAGCCUGAGAGCCUUGGCAGCAAGCUUCAAGCUUGGAUCUUCAACAGUUGGUUGCAUUGUCGGUGAGGUGUGCAAAGCUAUUUGGGCUGCACUGAAAGGAGAAUGUGUAGAUUUCCCUUGAUAUAGCACAGUAGGAGAACAGCCAGAUUUCUGGUAUUUGUGGAAUUAUCCUGUCUCAAAGCAGUAGAUGGGAAAUAUGAGAAUCCGUGCACCAGCUAACAGUCGAAGUUGUUUCCACAACUACAAGGGCUUUAUCAGUUUCAUCCUUAUAGCUGUGUGUGACAUCAGGUACACAUUUACAGUUGAGGCCAAAAGUUUACAUACACCUUGGCAAAAGACUGCAUUUUUCACAACUCAACGCAUUUCAUGUUACCAUACAUAUCCUGUGUUAAGUCAAUUAGGGUAUUUACUGUAUUUCCAUCAGAGGUAAUUUCUAAGUAAUAGCUAAGAGACAUUUAUUUCAGCUUUUAUGUACUAUAUCAGAUUUUUAGUGGAUCAAAAGUGUACAUACACUUUGUUAUUAUUUGGUGGUAUUGCCUUUUAAUUGCUUAACUAGAAUCAAACACUUGUGGUAGCCUUCCACAACCUUCUCACCAGAGGCAUCACUAGGGGGGUGUGGGGGGUGUGGGGGGUGCAGACCGCACCGGGUGACACCAUCAGAGGGGGUGAUACCGAAAUGACUGGCAAUAAAUUUUUUGUGCAGUGUUUUGUGUAGCUACGGGUUGAAACAGUUAAUUUCUCCCAUGCAGUUUACUGCCGGUUGAUGUAAAUAGCUGUGUUAAUGUGACGAGAACCGCUUUGUCGUUUGAAUGCAUAAUCCCGGGUGACGAGAUCCAACAGCAACCCCCCCGUCGACAACAUCGGGUGACACCAAAGGUCGACCGCACUGGGUGUCACCAACCCUAGUUUUCCACGCCACUGCUUCUCUCAAUACUUUGCCGGAAUAUUUGCCCAUUCUUCCUGACAGACCGCCUCCUUGCUCAAACACACUUUUUCAGAUUAGUCCACAAAUUUUCUAUGGGAUUCAGGUCAGGGCUUUGUGAUGGCCACUCCAAUACUUUCAAUUUGUUGUCUUUAAGCCAUUUUGUCACAACUUUGAAGGUAUGCUUAGGAUCAUUGUCCUGCUGAAGUUUUAACUAUCUAGCUGAUGUAUUGCGGUGUUGCUUCAGUAUUUCUUGAUAAUCCGCCUUCCUCAUGAUGCCAUCUAUUUUCUGAAGUGCUCCAGUCCCUUUUCCAGCAAAACACCCCCACAAGAUGAUGCUGCCACCCCCAUGCUUCACAGUUGGGUUGGUGUUCUUCGGAUUGAAAGCCUCACCCUUUUUCCUCCAUACACAGCGCUGAUCAUUAUGGCCAAACAGUUCAAUUUUUGUUUAAUCUGACUAGAGAACACUCCUCCAAAGGGCUAUGUCUUCGUCCUGGUUAUCAUUUGAAAACUUCAUUCUGGCUUUUUUACGCUGAUCUUGGUGUAGGGGCUUCCUUGCGCGCAAGCCUUUCAGGCCUCCCAGACUGUUUAAAGAGACAGUAAACUUGUUGUAUGUAUGUUUUGACCCACUGGAAUUCUGAUAUAAUUAAUUAAAGCUGAAAUAAA